GCCAAUAUAGCUCAGUAGGUAGAGCACACCCAUGGUAAGGGUGAGGUCUCGGGUUCGAUUCCCGAUAUUGGCUCCA
rnacentral:tRNA from 1 species